GUCAGUUUAUGGCUGAUGAGAGACAUAUUUACAACAAAAUGCGAAAAUAAAUAACGAGUAAUCUCGUAAAACCACCAAGGGAAAGCCAGCACAGUGCUACAGACGGGUCACCCUGUGGAAAUGAAGAAUGUGGAAGAAGAAUUACAUCAUACACCCCCAAAAUCUGGAAGGGAACAAACAACUGAAGAUGGGAGCUGCACAGAGAUCUCCAGACUUGGAUAGCAAGACAUUGUAGGACCGUAAGAGGUUGCUUUCUGCAUCACUCCCUGCUCUAACUUUUAGAAGAAGUAUAUGAUUGAAUUAAACCCGGGACAGAGUUUCCACACAGAAAAGUGCACAGAAGUGGGUUGGAAGAACUUGAAACAGUGGUCAUGGCAUCAGUUUUUACCCCAGGCUUAAAAGCUAUUAGUAGAUCUACACAUCACCACAAUUUGAAGCCAGUUCAAGCUCA